GUGAGGAAUAUUGGUCAAUGGGCGGGAGCCUGAACCAGCCAUGUCGCGUGAAGGAAGAAGGAUCUAUGGUUCGUAAACUUCUUUUGCAGGGGAAUAAAGUGCAGGACGUGUCCUGUUUUGUAUGUACCCUGAGAAUAAGGAUCGGCUAACUCCGUGCCAGCAGCCGCGGUAAUACGGAGGAUCCGAGCGUUAUCCGGAUUUCUUGGGUUUAAAGGGUGCGUAGGUGGUUUGAUAAGUCAGCGGUGAAAGUUUGCAGCUUAACUGUAAAAAUGCCGUUGAAACUGUCGGACUUGAGUGUAAAUGAGGUAAGCGGAAUGCGUGGUGUAGCGGAGAAAUGCAUAGAUAUCACGCAGAACUCCGAUUGCGAAGGCAGCUUACUAAGCUACAACUGACACUGAAGCACGAAAGCGUGGGGAUCAAACAGGAAUAGAAACCCCAGUAGUCC
rnacentral:rRNA from 1 species